UCAGCAGACGCACGCUUCGAGAACACAGCUCAGCGAACACGCCGACACCCCCCACCCAGUCGCUUUCUCAGCGCUUGGCUGUUUCUGAAACCGGCGUGGCUGCUCUCGCUGUCAGCCAAACCGAGAGGAAGACUGCAGCCCUGUCUCUUUAAGUAGUGACAUGCUAAUUGUACAACCGCAGAACAGAUAAGGAGCAGGGCUGGAGCCAUUUACUCGGGAGAAAUUGGGAGGAUCAGGGGUGACCAGGAGCUGUAGUUCCAGAGGGGGAUCAUGGCGCAUUUUUGGCCAUUCUCAGCUCGCGAUGUGCAGUGAAUCAAGCACCCCGCGCCCUCUCACACAGUGGGGCUCCCACAGUCAGGCAAGUAUCGCCUCUGCAGCUUCGUGGCGGCUAGGACUGCUAUCGCAGGACAGUGCACACAUCCCCGCUGCACAGCGAUCCCCUUAAUUGAGGGUUCAUCUCCCUUAGAGUGGAAUUCUCUCCCAUCUCCCUGCUCUCCAGGCAGGGCCUCCGAAGCUGCACUCCCGCAGGUCCCUGGUAGGUGUAAGUGAUUGUAGUGAACCUUGUGUGGGUGGAAUUGCUGAUGAGUUUACCAGGCUGGGGGCAUUCUACAGGCACACUGACAGAGGCUAGGAGCUGGUGGGCAUGACAGCCCACAGUGUACACUCAUACAGUACUGACUUCCACUGCUGCUACUGCUACUGCUGCUGCUGUUGCUUGGGGAAAAAAAAAACAGAUUUUCACAGACGGUUUCGCUCCAGGGAAAAACAGAGAGUGCAGUUUAUCAGUAUGUAAAGAGGCCAGUUCAGCGCUUGUCAGCAACUCCAUUAUCAGCUGGCUGGAUGGGCAUGGCGCUCAUUUGAGGUUUGUAGUUUUCAUUUGUGUUGAUGCAAAAUGAUGAGCAGAAUCGAGCCUAGAAAUGGCCCUGAUGGAAGUGGAGCGCUUGUAAGUUAUUCAGCGCAGCCUUGGGAGUCUUUUCAAAAGAUGACAUGCCUCUUCUGUGGGGUGAAAGGGGUUAAAGGGUUGUGGAGACUUGUGGCAUGCAAGAAUACUGAUGUUUUUUCUCUCCAGUCUGGCUCCACUCAAUGAUUAGAGGAAGCCGUCGCAAUGAUGUUAACAGUCUGAAGUUUAACAUCCGUCAUUCUCCGAUUUCCUAUUUAAACAUUAAGCACUCUGCUCUAAGUACAUUAUUGCCUCCUUUUUUCGGAAACGUUAUGUAAAAUGUUUCUGAGGAGCGUUCACUCCUUUGCAGUCAUUUUUUUCCCUAUUGACCUCAGAUCUCUCCUAUAGUUUCUACAUGCUCAUCUGACUAAUUUCUCCUUUUGUAAUCUUGAUUAAGCUGCUCAGACUGCCUUCCUUUUCCUUGACAAAAAUAAAACAACCACAAUUGAAUUAAGUAAAAAAAAAAAUACAGCCCUACAUUUGUUCCAGCUCAGUAAUGGCCUUCCCCAACAAAGUGGAGCUCCCCAUCUAAUUGGAGAGUUAUGAGGCGGUGCUGUUUCCUGGAAUAAGGAAUGUGAAGGCGAUGUUGAACCAUCCUUCUACAGCUGGCAUGGAUGAUGAGCUCGAAAACAAAUACCAACAAGAAGAUAAACUGAAGACUUGGAUUCCAAACCCAAGGGGAAGAGCUGCUGUUGGUGUACGGCUCAAUGCGACAGGACACCUUUGUUUCACAGUGAGAG